GUCCACGCCAUAAACGAUGAGCACUAGGUGUCGCGGGUAUUGACCCCUGCGGUGCCGCCGCUAACGCAUUAAGUGCUCCGCCUGGGGACUACGGCCGCAAGGUUAAAACUCAAAGGAAUUGACGGGGGCCCGCACAAGCGGUGGAGCAUGUGGUUCAAUUCGACGCAACGCGAAGAACCUUACCUUGGCUAGACAACAUCGGACAGUCCUGGAGACAGGAUCUUCCCUUCGGGGACCGGUGGUUCAGGUGCUGCAUGGCUGUCGU
rnacentral:rRNA from 1 species